GUGCUCGCUUCAGCAGCACAUAUACUAAAAUUGGGACAAUACAGAGAAGAUUAGCAUGGACCUGAGCAAGGAUGACAUGCAAAUUUGUUAAGCAUUCCAUAUUUUU
ensembl:snRNA U6 U6 spliceosomal RNA